UACAGAGGGUGCGAGCGUUAAUCGGAAUUACUGGGCGUAAAGCGUGCGUAGACGGUUAUUUAAGUCGGGUGUGAAAGCCCCGGGCUCAACCUGGGAAUUGCAUUCGAGACUGAAUAGCUAGGGUACGGUAGAGGGAAGUGGAAUUUCCGGUGUAGCGGUGAAAUGCGUAGAUAUCGGAAGGAACACCAGUGGCGAAGGCGACUUCCUGGCCUGUUCUUGACGCUGAGGCGCGAAAGCUAGGGGAGCAAACGGG
rnacentral:rRNA from 1 species